AUUGAACGCUGGCGGCAGGCUUAACACAUGCAAGUCGAGCGGAGAUGAGGUGCUUGCACCUUAUCUUAGCGGCGGACGGGUGAGUAAUGCUUAGGAAUCUGCCUAUUAGUGGGGGACAACAUUCCGAAAGGAAUGCUAAUACCGCAUACGCCCUACGGGGGAAAGCAGGGGAUCUUCGGACCUUGCGCUACUAGAUGAGCCUAAGUCGGAUUAGCUAGUUGGUGGGUUAAAGGCCUACCAAGGCGACGAUCUGUAGCGGGUCUGAGAGGAUGAUCAGCCACACGGGGACUGAGACACGGCCCAGACUCCUACGGGAGGCAGCAGUGGGGAAUAUUGGACAAUGGGCGGAAGCCUGAUCCAGCCAUGCCGCGUGUGUGAAGAAGGCCUUUUGGUUGUAAAGCACUUUAAGCGAGGAGGAGGCUACCUGGAUUAAUACUCUAGGAUAGUGGACGUUACUCGCAGAAUAAGCACCGGCUAACUCUGUGCCAGCAGCCGCGGUAAAAC
rnacentral:rRNA from 1 species